rnacentral:rRNA from 1 species
GAUGAACGCUGGCGGCGUGCUUAACACAUGCAAGUCGAACGGUGAACACGGAGCUUGCUCUGUGGGAUCAGUGGCGAACGGGUGAGUAACACGUGAGCAACCUGCCCCUGACUCUGGGAUAAGCGCUGGAAACGGCGUCUCAUACUGGAUAUGUGACGUGACCGCAUGGUCUGCGUUUGGAAAGAUUUUUCGGUUGGGGAUGGGCUCGCGGCCUAUCAGCUUGUUGGUGAGGUAAUGGCUCACCAAGGCGUCGACGGGUAGCCGGCCUGCGAGGGUGACCGGCCACACUGGGACUGAGACACGGCCCAGACUCCUACGGGAGGCAGCAGUGGGGAAUAUUGCACAAUGGGCGCAAGCCUGAUGCAGCAACGCCGCGUGAGGGAUGACGGCCUUCGGGUUGUAAACCUCUUUUAGCAGGGAAGAAGCGAAAGUGACGGUACCUGCAGAAAAAGCGCCGGCUAACUACGUG